GCCAGUGGUGAACUCCACAUACGCAUCCUUUGCUGAGGAUACGGUUAACGGAGCGAAAGCGACGUUCAACCGCAAAAGAAGCAGAGGGGGCUUAGUGGUGGGGUGACUGCGUACCUUUUGUAUAAUGGGUCAGCGACUUAUAUUCUGUAGCAAGGUUAACCGAAUAGGGGAGCCGGAGGGAAACCGAGUCUUAACCGGGCGUUAAGUUGCAGGGUAUAGACCCGAAACCCGGUGAUCUAGCCAUGGGCAGGUUGAAGGUUGGGUAACACUAACUGGAGGACCGAACCGACUAAUGUUGAAAAAUUAGCGGAUGACCUGUGGCUGGGGGUGAAAGGCCAAUCAAACCGGGAGAUAGCUGGUUCUCCCCGAAAGCUAUUUAGGUAGCGCCUCGUGAAUUCAUCUCCGGGGGUAGAGCACUGUUUCGGCUAGGGGGCCAUCCCGGCUUACCAACCCGAUGCAAACUGCGAAUACCGGAGAAUGUUAUCACGGGAGACACACGGCGGGUGCUAACGUCCGUCGUGAAGAGGGAAACAACCCAGACCGCCAGCUAAGGUCCCAAAGUCAUGGUUAAGUGGGAAACGAUGUGGGAAGGCCCAGACAGCCAGGAUGUUGGCUUAGAAGCAGCCAUCAUUUAAAGAAAGCGUAAUAGCUCACUGGUCGAGUCGGCCUGCGCGGAAGAUGUAACGGGGCUAAACCAUGCACCGAAGCUGCGGCAGCGACGCUUAUGCGU
rnacentral:rRNA from 1 species